rnacentral:rRNA from 1 species
UACGUAGGGGGCAAGCGUUGUCCGGAUUUAUUGGGCGUAAAGAGCGUGUAGGCGGCCAUGUAGGUCUGCUGUGAAAACUCGAGGCUUAACCUCGAGCUGUCGGCGGAAACCAUCUGGCUAGAGUCCGGAAGAGGAGAAUGGAAUUCCCGGUGUAGCGGUGAAAUGCGCAGAUAUCGGGAAGAACACCCGAGGCGAAGGCGGUUCUCUGGGACGGUACUGACGCUGAGACGCGAAAGCGUGGGGAGCGAACAGG